UACUCGCGGUCCAAGUCGCAGCCAUUUUUAUUGGGUCUAAAACAUCCGUAGCUUGCUUUGUAAGUUCCUUGUGAAAUCUUAUAUCUCAAAUAUAGGGCGCGCAAGGAGUACUGCUAAGCUAGAGACUGGGAGACGUAACGAGUACGUUUGAGGUAGCGGUAAAAUGUGUUAAUCUCAGACGGACUAACAAUAGCGAAGGCACGUUACGAGAACAGUUCUGACAGUAAGGGAUGAAGGCCAGGGGCGCAAAACGGAUUAGAUACCCGUGUAGUCCUGGCAGUAAACACUGCUCACUAAACAUCGGGCCCUCUUCGAGAGGAUUCGGUGCUGCAGCGAAGGCGAAGAGUGAGCUACCUGGGAAGUAUAGUCGCAAGGCUGAAACUUAAAGGAAUUGGCGGGGAGACACUACAACGAGUGACGCGUGCGGUUCAAUUAGAUUCUACACCGUGAACCUCACCAGGAGCGACAGCAGAAUGAAGGUCAGUCUAAAGGGCUUACCUGACACGCUGAGAAGAGUUGCAUGGCCGACGUCAGCCUGUGUCGUGAGAUGAGCUGUUAAAUCAGUUAACAGGCAAGACCCCCAUCUUUAUUUACUAAGUGUACAAUAAAGAGAUUGCCUUGGAAACGAGGAUGAAAGUUGGGGCUACGUUAGGUGAGUACAGCCUGAAUCCCCUGGGCAACACGCGCGCGUCAAUGGCGAAUACAACGGGAUGCAACUCCGAAAGGAGAAGCCAAUCUCUUAAAGUUCGUCUUAGUACAGAUCGAGGAUUGUAACUCAUCCUCGCGACGCUGGAAUUCGUAGUAAUCGUUUGUCAACAACGAACGGUGAAUAUGUCACGGUCUCU
rnacentral:rRNA from 1 species